rnacentral:rRNA from 1 species
UACGUAGGGGGCAAGCGUUGUCCGGAAUUAUUGGGCGUAAAGAACGUGUAGGCGGCCAGAUAAGUCCGCUGUGAAAUCUCGAGGCUCAACUUCGAGCUGUCGGUGGAAACUAUCUGGCUAGAGUCCGGAAGAGGAGAAUGGAAUUCCUGGUGUAGCGGUGAAAUGCGCAGAUAUCAGGAAGAACACCCGUGGCGAAGGCGGUUCUCUGGGACGGUACUGACGCUGAGACGCGAAAGCGUGGGGAGCGAACAGG